rnacentral:rRNA from 1 species
GAUGAACGCUGGCGGCGUGCCUAAUACAUGCAAGUCGAGCGAACGGACGAGAAGCUUGCUUCUCUGAAGUUAGCGGCGGACGGGUGAGUAACACGUGGAUAACCUACCUAUAAGACUGGGAUAACUUCGGGAAACCGGAGCUAAUACCGGAUAAUAUUUUGAACCGCAUGGUUCAAAAGUGAAAGACGGUCUUGCUGUCACUUAUAGAUGGAUCCGCGCUGCAUUAGCUAGUUGGUAAGGUAACGGCUUACCAAGGCAACGAUGCAUAGCCGACCUGAGAGGGUGAUCGGCCACACUGGAACUGAGACACGGUCCAGACUCCUACGGGAGGCAGCAGUAGGGAAUCUUCCGCAAAGGGCGAAAGCCUGACGGAGCAACGCCGCGUGAGUGAUGAAGGUCUUCGGAUCGUAAAACUCUGUUAUUAGGGAAGAACAUAUGUGUAAGUAACUGUGCACAUCUUGACGGUACCUAAUCAGAAAGCCACGGCUAACUACGUG